AACUAACGCUGGCGGCGCGUCUUAAACAUGCAAGUCGAGCGGUAAGGCCCGCAAGGGUACACGAGCGGCAAACGGGUGAGUAACACGUAGGUAACUUCCCCUCAGUGGAGGACAACCUGUAGAAAUAGCAGGCUAAUACUCCAUACUCUCGGUUCUUCCACGGAAGUUCCGACGAAAGACAGCAAUGCGCUGAGGGAGUGGACCUGCGGCUGAUUAGCUUGUUGGCGGGGUAACGGCCCACCAAGGCGACGAUC
rnacentral:rRNA from 1 species